UCUUGCUGCUCUCUCCUCAGCCUCUCUCUCCUGUAUGUUUGGGUGUGUUCGGGUGUUUCCGUGAUUGCUACCAGUUCCCAGCAGACAAAACAUGAAUUUGUCAUUGCGCUCACCGCUCUCGUGAAAAGUAAUGGAAAGAAAUGAACUGUGCCCACUCAAGGGGGUGAUUGUGACAGUUGUUUGAGGCUGUAGAGCCUCAGGCAGACAGACAGACAGACAUGCUACUCCUGCUGCUGAUGUGGAGGAUAUUUACCAGGAUGCAUUUCUGCAUAUUGCCCUGUUUUGCUGCCUUUGAGUAAAGGCAGCGCAGCGAAUGUAAAGCUGUGUGAUAACAGGGCCAUUCGCCACAGCACUGAGUUUGACCCUGCAACCAGCCUCCAUGACGGAUGUGAGAUGAUUCCUAGCCCUCCAGCUCAGCACGACACACUCAGCACAACUCAAAUACACCCUCACAACCUCUCUCUCGUUUUCCUGUCUUCCCUGUCUUAUUCUCCAUCUCUCUCUCUCUGUCAGUCUCUGGUACGCUACAGAUUGACUCCGUGCUGUAUGCUGUCUAUUUAAAGCUGAUGCCAUAACCACCCACUGCUGCUUUAAGAAAUGGUGACUCACCUAAACAGAUCAGCCCAGUAGACACAGUGUGUGUGUGUGUGUGUUUGGGAAUGUUAUAUCAUCUUGGCUUUAGUUCUAUUUUGCUAGGGCCUUCUCUGUUUGUUGACAAGUGCAGCUGUUUUCCAAUGAUAGCACUUGUCUGUGCAUCAAGCUGGUAUCUGCAGGAUCCCCAGAUUAAUGCAAACGCACACACACACUCACAUACACACUCAAACACAAUCUGUGCACUUAGUGUUACUGAGUUAUGUGCUAUUCUGGGUGCAUCCAGGGGACUUCCAGCUUAUGGGAAAAGCAAAUGAGCAAAUUUGCAUUUUCUCUACUUUGCUCCGUAAUGGGAUAUAUGUAAGGGACUAUGUAAGUGCAAAAUGAGGUGUGGAUGAAGGUUGUGUGUCUGAGUAGGCUAGGAAGUAGGCUGCCAAUUAGAAACAAACAGGGCAAUACAUAUGGCAUGUUCUGUAGAUGUGACAAGAGCUUCCAGGCAGCCAGGCUGAGCAGCUUCCACUGCCAUGGUUUUGAGUUUCCCCCUCACUUCUUUGCAUUAUUAAAUAAUCCCUGAAUAAUUCACUGCCUUUCGUAUCAAACAAAUAUUUUUGCAACAUGCACCUACAAAUAAGUAAGGGGAGGGCUGCUGUUCCAGACUGUAUUUAAGGAAGUGGACAUCGUGAUGAAGUGUUUAUGUGUGUUUCAAAUGUGUCCAGCUUCAGGUAGCAGUGUGAAUGUCACUGUAAGUGAGCUGCUCUUUGCUACUGAAUGAGUCAUGCCCUCAUACUGUAGAGAACUCCCAUUCUCUUCUUAAUAUACACUGUAACAUACAGUCUAAUAUCAGUGUGCCUCAUCUGGUGGUAUGCUAUACUUGUCUAAUAUUGAUUCCAGAGAGCUACAUCAAAAUACAGGGCAGCCUGUAUGCACAAGUAGUAAUAAAAUGUUACAAUGCAAUGUGAUAUUUGUGUGUAUUGAUUUGAUAUUGCAGCAUUAUACGUGUUUCAUCUGCUUAAAGUAUUUUUAUGGGUUGUUUGCAUUACUUUUGUAUCCU